rnacentral:rRNA from 1 species
UACGUAGGGCGCAAGCGUUGUCCGGAAUUAUUGGGCGUAAAGAGCUCGUAGGCGGCUUGUCACGUCGGGUGUGAAAGCCCGGGGCUUAACCCCGGGUCUGCAUUCGAUACGGGUGGACUAGAGGUAUGCAGGGGAGAACGGAAUUCCUGGUGUAGCGGUGAAAUGCGCAGAUAUCAGGAGGAACACCGGUGGCGAAGGCGGUUCUCUGGGCAUUACCUGACGCUGAGGAGCGAAAGCGUGGGGAGCAAACAGG